UCUUGUUGUUGUUGUAAUUCUGGGUUUCCAGCCAGCGGGGGCCCUUCUCCACUCAAUCAAGGGCAACAUGCCCUCUGCCGACAUUUUGUAUUCUUUGGCCUGCUUUCCCUGGGGCAAAGGCAUUCAGCUAUAAACCUUCUCUCCUGGCUCUUUUUCAUCUGGAUGGUGGCCCCUGGGCCACCAUGGGAUGGUGCUGUGCAUGCUCAAGUGUUUUAGGACGUUAUUGUGAUUACAUUGAGUAGAAAUUUAAUCUACAAGGAUUCAUCUGGAUGGCGCAACCUUUAUUUACCUCUGCAGUGACUUCCUCACAGAUGUCAUGGAGGAAAAGAAGCUGCAAAAUAUUCUUUCAUGACAAGAUCAAGAAGAACACAGCUUGAAGAGAGAGAAGUAAGAAGUUCAUCUAAGGUGUGAAAGCAGAGUUCAGCUGCGUUUGUUAUGGACCAGAUUCUUCCUGCUCCAUCUAAAACCAGGGAGGAGGUCAUUUGUUUAGCAUCAGAGUAAUUGCUUACAGUUUAUAGGGAUGUAAAUAAGAAGUGUCUCACUCUUGUAAUUUAGCCUCUUUGGUCUGUUUUAGCUUAGUUAUGUGCCUGGUAUAAAUCUCACCGCUAAUUUCUUUUCACAUUAAGCAUAGCCCUGAGGAACUUGUUUUACAGGGAACUUAAGGCUUCGACCUUUGAUCACCGCAACCCGACUUCUCACAACCCUGAGAACAAGUGUCUGAAAAAAUGAAAUGCGAACAAUGUGCACCAUCAAUAUCAAUUACUGCGUUGUUAUGUGGUAAAUUUCCCCCACAGGGGGUGAGCAAUUCACUUGAUGCGCUUGGCAAAGGGCUCGAUUCUUCUCCCUGCCAGCAGCGAGGCGGUGCUGGCAUCUCUCUGUAUGUUUCAGUGGAGUAAGGGAGUGCAGCGUCAGACCCAAAGCCUCCGUGAGCGCAGGGAAAAGCGAUCUCUGUCAGGAGAAGCUCUCUGCAGCCUGAACAGCAAGCUGCAAUCUUUGAAGGGAAGACUUCAAAGAGAACAAGAGAAAAGAAACAAUGUCUAAUCUUCAUACAAAUGUGCUCUGGGGGCUCUGAAACUCAGACGCUUCUGAGAUUUAAGAAUUAAUUAUCAUUUGCCAGAAGCAAGCUUUAUGCACAGGUAACUGGGACGGUAAUCUGAGACCUUCAGGUGCAAAAUUCAUGGAAUUAUAUUGAACUGAUUAAAGCUUGAUAAAUCACCAGAAUUCCAUUUGGUGUACUUGCACAUUUUUCAAAUGUUUGAUGUUACCUUCAUAUUGUUUAUGUGGGAUAUGACAGCAGCUCCCAAAAUUUCAUCUUUCAAAGGAGAUAAUCAGAAAUAUUUUGGUACAAGAAUUGUGACUUGCCGGUUCUCAUUAAAACAAGCAGUGUAGCAGGCUGGAUCUUUGGUUCCCAUAGAGCAAUACAGCUCUGUUGACUUCUAUUUACUGCAGCAAAAGAGAAGAGACUAAAACAUUUGUCAGCUCCACAGCUGUAUAAAUAGUGAGGAGCACUGUGAACGACCAAAAGCAAAGCAGGGCUAUUCUUAUUCCUCUUUGCAGAAAGGUGUGUGUAAAACAUCCCUCAGACCAGCUGACGUGUCUGGGAUAUCUCCACACCUCACAGGCUUUAUUGCAUUUGUCCUUUACAACACCCUUUUGACUGAGCGUUCCUGUUACAUCCAUUUUACACCUGAAGUUUAAAGCAUAAAGAGGUAGUAUGACCCUUGGUUGCAAGGCAAGCUAGUGGUGAAAUAAGGAAUUAAACAUUUAAGUAUCUGGAGGACUCGGUUAUGUGAUGGAGUUAUUGUGCUCAAGAAAGUGGAUGAUUUAUUGUGAAUACCUGGCCAGAAACCUUGGUGACGUGUGUAGCUGAAAUCCUCUGUUUACCACAAGCUGAAGGUGUGAACUCAGCCGGCUCGUGUGGCUCAGCUGCUGCACAGAAACACAUUAAACCCCAAUAACUUGUUUGCGCAUCCCAGCCCUCUCUUCUGUAAAGCACUAUCUGCCUCUCGCCUUUAAAACUUCAAUGAAAACAGUUGCUGCAGAAGCUUAUGACAGCUGUACACUAAAAGGAACCAGUUCCCUGACAUAAGCAAGGGUUUUCAGAUGUGAACAGCUAUAUCUGGUUUACAAUGAGAAAAUGUCUCUUCUCUUAUAAAGCCAGUGAGCCAAGUUACCUGUACAGCAGAGAAAAGGGAUGAAAGGCAGAGAUCAGGUCAAAUGCAACCACUUUGAGGGAAUGAGUCUCCCAGGCAGGAUUGCAAUUGCUUCAUUUUGUGGUUAUAGCAGUAUGACUUUCGAGGUUAGAUGGAAUUUGUCUUGAUAUUUGCCCACCAGCAACCAGAAGGCAUCAUUGACUGUUGUCUCCUGAUACAUACAAAUGCUUUGCACCCAGGUAAUUCACAGGUGCAUUCACUGUGCACUGCCAGAGUUGCUGCUGCCUGGGAGUCACUGGCCACCACAGAGGCUCAAAAUAACACAGGGGCACUGCGUUACCCCAUAUUAGCAUCCAGGAGUAUGCAAAAGGACAGAGCUUGACCCCGGUGCUGUGUUACAGCAGGGCCAUGUGUGUUUGUUUUCCAAAGAAAUUUUCUUCUGCAAACAUUCAGAAAAAAUCCCAGGCAGGCUCCUCUUACUGGCUGUUGCAGCUCCCAGGACAACAAAACCAAAGGUAACGGGUGCUGCCUCUCCCCACCGAAAUGGGAAAUGUUGACAUUUCAAGUAUUUGUCUAACUGCAGAUAGUUGACACAGCUUGUGAGAAAUUACCCUGGGAGGAAAGGAGCCCUCCCAAACUCCUCUGCUUCCUUCGUGCUUCUCUCGGCUCCUGCUGGGUGCUCCAAGUGACCCCACCAGGAAUGUCCCUGCCCCAGAGCAGGUCCUCCACCUUUCCUCAGGGUUAACGUCCCGCACACCUUCCAGAGCAGGGGACCAAGGGACAUGCAGUGAUGGGACCCAUGGGGGCUCAAAAAGGGUUCAGCUCUCCUGGCAUCAGUGGGGCCCAGGUGGGAUAAAGCAGACAGAUGCUGGUACCCAAAGAGGAAACCUGGCUCCGAGUUAUUUUUGCCCACAGAUGUUUUGCUGUGUUUGUUGUAAGAUUUUGGUGUCACUUAUCGUGUGUCUGCUAUAAUGCAUUGCCUGAGACAUAAUUAAAUUCAAAGGGCAUGUCUGUGUUGAAAAGGAGGGUUGCAAUUUGUUGGUGCUCAGAUUUUUCAUUAAAAACCAAGCAGCUUUUUUGACUGGCAGGGACAAUGGUUAUAGAACAAAAAUGAUAUUAAAAAAGAGAAGGGAAAUGCUCUGCC